GACGAACGCUGGCGGCGUGCUUAACACAUGCAAGUCGAACGGAAAGGCCCUGCUUUUGUGGGGUGCUCGAGUGGCGAACGGGUGAGUAACACGUGAGUAACCUGCCCUUGACUUUGGGAUAACUUCAGGAAACUGGGGCUAAUACCGGAUAGGAGCUCCUGCUGCAUGGUGGGGGUUGGAAAGUUUCGGCGGUUGGGGAUGGACUCGCGGCUUAUCAGCUUGUUGGUGGGGUAGUGGCUUACCAAGGCUUUGACGGGUAGCCGGCCUGAGAGGGUGACCGGCGACAUUGGGACUGAGAGACGGACCAGACUCCUACGGGAGGCAGAAGUGGGGAAUAUUGCACAAUGGGCGGAAGCCUGAUGCAGAAACGCCGCGUGCGGGAUGACGGCCUUCGGGUUGUAAACCGCUGUCGCCUGUGACGAAGCGUGAGUGACGGUAAUGGGUAAAGAAGCACCGGCUAACUACGUG
rnacentral:rRNA from 1 species